rnacentral:tRNA from 1 species
AACGAGACAAUUUAGUUAAGCCAUUUUCAGGUUGUCUGGAUCCACAU